CGGAAGCUUUCAAAUGGUUUUAAAGGUUGGCUAAGGUGAUGGUAAAUUUAUAAGGGUAGUAGGCUCGAUUUAAGGAUAAAAAUAAGAAAAAAAAUGGAAGUUGGUAAAUGAAGGCUCGGUUUUGUAAAAAGAUAUUAUAGUUGAGUAAAAUCUAGGAUAGACGGUGGAAUGGAUAAAUGAGCUUAAACACCAGAAACGAUUCAACACUAAAAAGUGUCACCCC
rnacentral:lncRNA from 1 species